GGGGUUGUGGUCUAGUGGUAUGACAUCUUCUUAGCAUUGCUCUUCUGAGCAUUACUGAGUGGAGAAGGUUCUGGGUUCGAUUCCCAGCUACUCCA
rfam:Aureobasidium namibiae CBS 147.97 unplaced genomic scaffold scaffold_7, whole genome shotgun sequence.